rnacentral:rRNA from 1 species
AUUGAACGCUGGCGGCAGGCUUAACACAUGCAAGUCGAGCGAGCGGCGGACGGGUGAGUAAUGUCUGGGAAACUGCCUGAUGGAGGGGGAUAACUACUGGAAACGGUAGCUAAUACCGCAUACCAUCAGAUGUGCCCAGAUGGGAUUAGCUAGUAUGUGGGGUAAUGGCGCACCGGGGCGACGAUCCCUAGCUGGUCUGAGAGGAUGACCAGCCACACUGGAACUGAGACACGGUCCAGACGCCUACGGGAGGCAGCAUGGGGGAAGAUUGCACAAGGGGCGCAAGCCUGAUGCAGCCAUGCCGCUUGUGUGAAGAAGGCCUUCGGUUUGUAAAGCACUUUCAGCGAGGAGGCGUUACUCGCAGAAGAAGCCACGGCUAACUACGUGCCAGCAGCCGCGGUAAUUC